CCUACGGGAGGCAGCAGUGGGGAAUAUUGGACAAUGGGGGCAACCCUGAUCCAGCCAUGCCGCGUGUGUGAAGAAGGCCCUCGGGUUGUAAAGCACUUUCAGUGAGGAAGAACGCCUGGUGGUUAAUACCCAUCAGGAAAGACAUCACUCACAGAAGAAGCACCGGCUAACUCCGUGCCAGCAGCCGCGGUAAUACGGAGGGUGCGAGCGUUAAUCGGAAUUACUGGGCGUAAAGCGCGCGUAGGUGGCUUGAUAAGCCGGUUGUGAAAGCCCCGGGCUCAACCUGGGAACGGCAUCCGGAACUGUCAAGCUAGAGUGCAGGAGAGGAAGGUAGAAUUCCCGGUGUAGCGGUGAAAUGCGUAGAGAUCGGGAGGAAUACCAGUGGCGAAGGCGGCCUUCUGGACUGACACUGACACUGAGGUGCGAAAGCGUGGGUAGCAAACAGGAUUAGAUACCCCAGUAGGC
rnacentral:rRNA from 1 species